UACGUAUGGAGCAAGCGUUAUCCGGAUUUACUGGGUGUAAAGGGUGCGCAGGUGGCAGAGCAAGUCAGAAGUGAAAACCCGGGGCUCAACUCCGAGGAUUGCUUUUGAAACUGUUUUGCUAGAGUCCAGGAGAGGCAAGCGGAAUUCCUAGUGUAGCGGUGAAAUGCGUAGAUAUUAGGAGGAACACCAGUGGCGAAGGCGGCUUGCUGGACUGGUACUGACACUGAGGCACGAAAGCGUGGGGA
rnacentral:rRNA from 1 species